rnacentral:rRNA from 1 species
AUUGAACGCUGGCGGCAUGCUUUACACAUGCAAGUCGAACGGUAGAGGGGGCAACCCCUUGAGAGUGGCGAACGGGUGAGUAAUGCAUCGGAACGUGCCCAGUCGUGGGGGAUAACGCAGCGAAAGCUGUGCUAAUACCGCAUACGCCCUGAGGGGGAAAGCGGGGGAUCGCAAGACCUCGCGCGAUUAGAGCGGCCGAUGCCUGAUUAGCUUGUUGGUGGGGUAAAAGCCCACCAAGGCGACGAUCAGUAGCUGGUCUGAGAGGACGAUCAGCCACACUGGGACUGAGACACGGCCCAGACUCCUACGGGAGGCAGCAGUGGGGAAUUUUGGACAAUGGGGGCAACCCUGAUCCAGCAGUGCCGCGUGAGUGAAGAAGGCCUUCGGGUUGUAAAGCUCUUUUGUCAGGGAAGAAACACCGGCUCUAACACAGUCCGGGAAUGACGGUACCUGAAGAAUAAGCACCGGCUAACUACGUGCCAGCCGCCGCUGUAA